rnacentral:rRNA from 1 species
CAGUAGCCGCGGGAAUACGUAGGGUGCAAGCGUUGUCCGGAAUUAUUGGGCGUAAAGAGCUCGUAGGCGGUUUGUCGCGUCUGCUGUGAAAUCCCGAGGCUCAACCUCGGGCUUGCAGUGGGUACGGGCAGACUAGAGUGCGGUAGGGGAGAUUGGAAUUCCUGGUGUAGCGGUGGAAUGCGCAGAUAUCAGGAGGAACACCGAUGGCGAAGGCAGAUCUCUGGGCCGUAACUGACGCUGAGGAGCGAAAGCGUGGGGAGCGAACAGGAUUAGAUACCCGUGUAGUCCCUGUCUCUUAUAC